rnacentral:rRNA from 1 species
UACGGGGGGGAGCAAGCGUUGUUCGGAUUUACUGGGCGUAAAGGGCGCGUAGGCGGCCACUGCAAGUCAGUUGUGAAAUCUCCGGGCUUAACCCGGAAAGGUCAACUGAUACUGCAGGGCUAGAGUGCAGAAGGGGCAACUGGAAUUCUCGGUGUAGCGGUGAAAUGCGUAGAUAUCGAGAGGAACACCUGCGGCGAAGGCAGCACUCUGGGACGUGACUGACGCUGAGACGCGAAAAGCGUGGGGGAGCAAACAGG